rnacentral:misc_RNA from 1 species
UUUUAUUACAAUGGUCUUGUUGAUGGAUCUUAGGGAAAGAACUAUGUUGGUCUCGCAAUAAUUGAGUUGUGAAAUCAACUAUGAUGUUAUCUGAACUUUGUAUUGCCAAAGGAAAAGAAAUGAAUCAUGGAGUUUUUAUUCACAGAAACAAUGUUAGUCACAUGGUUCCUAAUUUCCUUUUGUAUAGAUGAUACUUUUUGGAAUUAAAUCUUAGGUUAUUAGGCUAUUAGCAGUUGAAAUUUUCGAGUAAAUUUAGUCGCUAUAUCAAUGGUUGGACUGAACUGUUUUUGGAGUAAGGUUUAAUUGACUUUGGCAUUUGCAGUUGGAUUUAUUGUUCUGAAAUUGUGAAUUGAUUCCUAGUGGUAAUGCAACUCAUAAAUCAUGAGCAAAGAUGGCACCAUCAUUAGAUCUUAUUAAUUUUUGGAACCUAUUGCAUGUUUGGUGAUAAUUUGGGAGGAAAAGGUGGUCAAUCUAGAAGCUGAGACCAUAUUGUGCUACAAUAUUUCAAAAUCUUGCUUGUGCCUACCUAUGUAAGAAAGAUUGUUACUCAAUCAUGUUCCUGCUGAAUGGAUUCUAGAACAGGGAAUUGGAAACAGUUAUAUUUCCAUCAUUUUGUUAGAGGUGAUUGUUUUUGAGUUCGAAUUUGCAUUCUUGUGGGGGUAAUCUUAAGAAGUUAACAUUACACCAAGUGCCACUGUUCCACCCAUCCAUAUAUGUCUCUUGAAAUUGUAAGCUUCUCUAGUAGGAUUUUAGGAAAUUCGCAAUAUGCUUACUACCUACUAAAACAAUGGGUUGGCUUGUUUUGAUAAUAUUCUAAGAUCAUCAUUAUUAUGUAGGAAUGCUGGCUUUACUGUGUUUUAUGCUUUAGUUGUGUGCUAUAUCACCAGGCCAAGAAAAAAACAAUACUGAGAUGUUACCUAGCAAUUUGCAUUUGUUAGGUGAACAAUCUAAGGAUUUAUUGUGCAAUAUGCCUAUUUACUACAUUAAAGAAUGUGAUUGAUUUUAUACUGUGCUUUGGUUCUGUUUGCAG